CUCCUGGUAACAGCCAAUGACACGCAAGUGCUCUCACUGUCUCUCAAUGUUUAAGCUAAACCUGCACACUGCGCUCGACGGUUUUACACCGGAUCUGGGUUUUGCACACUUUAGUCGUCUUUCAAAAAACUGUGCAGUGUGAAUGAGAACGCUAGAAAUAGAAACCGAAAGAAAGCGAGUCAAGAUUCAAAAGAAACUGUUGUCAUCGCCGCUCGCGCUUCAUAUUACGCAGAAAUGCUCCUCUUUGCAACCUGUCGUCUUUCAAAAAACUGUGCAGUGUGAAUGAGAACGCUAGAAAUAGAAACCGAAAGAAAGCGAGUCAAGAUUCAAAACAAACUGUUGUCAUCGCCGCUCGCGCUUCAUAUUACGCAGAAAUGCUCCUCUUUGCAACCGUCGCGUUUCUUGUAGAUUUAUCCUGGGCUCUUCCAACGGACAUUAUUAUUCAAUUCGAGCGCAGUGUUUUGCCAAACGGGACAGUCGUGGAGAGGAUCCUUGUCAGUGAUGCAAAUUUAAAGGGACAGUUCGACAAGCAACCUGUUGUCAGACCCAUUCAAGAUGAAGUCCUGAAGAUGAUGGUGGAGAAUGACAAUGAAACAGCAAGCUAUGGCACAUAUAUACGUUUGAGGGAAUGUAAGCUGCGAGGAUAUCGAGUCCUGCAGCUGUCCGACCGGUUUCAGCUCAGUGGCAAAGAUUAUCUGACUUUAGAUUCAGACAGUGAUUCAUGGACAGUGUUGAUGCCGGAGGCGCAUGAUCUAAAGCAGUCAUGGACACUUAAGGCCGAGCAUGCGAGUCUAGAGAAAAUUCACCUGAAAGAAGAAUGUGAGGAAUUAAUUAAACAGAUAAAUGAUGCCCAGAAUCAAGAAGGGCUUGGUGUGUUAAGAGUGAUGGCUCCAGUUCUCACCACUUUUCUCUUCAUCGGAUUUGUCUUUAUGAGCCUCCUUAUCUUCAAGCGACACGGUCAUCAGCCAGGAGGUGUUUUAGGCUCAAUUAUCCACUAUCCAGCCCAUCAUCUUGAAGUACCAUUGAACGAACAGAGUCAAAAGGACAUCUCUCAAGUUCCAAUGCUGAAGGCAUAGCAAUCACCUAACCUGCCCAACCACAUUAUUGUGAAGAGUCAACUCUUUGUCAUGAUUUCAGAAGUCUUAGACUGAUUUGAAAGUUCAGUAAUAAAAUUGUUCCGAU
rnacentral:lncRNA from 1 species